GACGAACGCUGGCGGCGUGCUUAACACAUGCAAGUCGAACGGAAAGGCCCUGCUUUUGUGGGGUGCUCGAGUGGCGAACGGGUGAGUAACACGUGAGUAACCUGCCCUUGACUUUGGGAUAACUUCAGGAAACUGGGGCUAAUACCGGAUAGGAGCUCCUGCUGCAUGGUGGGGGUUGGAAAGUUUCGGCGGUUGGGGAUGGACUCGCGGCUUAUCAGCUUGUUGGUGGGGUAGUGGCUUACCAAGGCUUUGACGGGUAGCCGGCCUGAGAGGGUGACCGGGCACAUUGGGACUGAGAUACGGCCCAGACUCAUACGGGAGGCAGCAGUGGGGAAUAUUGCACAAUGGGCGGAAGACUGAUGCAGCAACGCCGCGUGCGGGAUGAAGGCCUUCGGGUUGUAAACCGCUUUCGCAUGUGACGAAGAGUGAGUGAAGGUAAUGGGUAAAGAAGCACCGGAUAACUACGUG
rnacentral:rRNA from 1 species